AUUGAACGCUGGCGGCAGGCUUAACACAUGCAAGUCGAACGCGUGGCGGGCGGGUGAGUAAUGCUUGGGAAUAUGGAAUAUGGAGGGAGAUAAAGACGGGAAAAUGUCGCUAAUAGCGCGUAGACUAGGAUGAGCCCAAGGGGGAUUAGGUAGUUGGUGGGGUAAGGGCGUACCAAGCAGACGAUCUAUAGAUGGUCUGAGAGGAUGACCAGCCACCCCGGGACUGAGACACGGCCCGGACUCCUACGGGAUGCAGCAGUGGGGAAUAUGUCGCAAUGUGCGCAACCUGACGCAGCCAUGCCGCUUGAAUGAAGAAGGCCUUCGGGUUGUAAAGUUCUUUCGGUGACGAGUCGUUAUUCACAGGAGAAGCACCGGCUAACUCCGUGCCAGCAGCCGCGGUAAUAC
rnacentral:rRNA from 1 species